UGGAGCAGGAGAGGCAGGGAAGGAACUCUAGUUUUCUACAGAACUGUUUGGAGGAUGGAAUCAGGGAUGAGGAAAGAGUUUUCGAAGGAGACAAGGACUUGGAGGAAGCAUGUCAUAAGGUCUACCUCCACAAGACAGGGCUGAGAACACAAGAGAAAGUCUACCUCCACAACACAGGGCUGAGAAAGGUCACCGUCCUCAACAAAGCCGGUUAUUGCCUGCGUUGGCACAGCAGCCUCCUAACCCUUGUCCUUGGGUCACUCUGCUCCUCGGUAAUCCAUCCCAGCUAGAGAGGCCUCUGCAGACUUUAAGGCACCCUUCUCUUCAGGUCACCACAUGGCUGGCUCCCUCUCAUCAUUCAGACAUAAGCAGAAGUUAUCACCACCUAGUUCCCAUGAACUUUCCCAUGUUCAUCUCCUGUACACACACACACACACACACACACGCACACACACACACACUCAUGAUUACCCUAUUGGUCAUCCUCAUAGUGUUUAUCAUUAGUGUAUUCAUAUUAUUUAUUCAUCAGUCUAUUAUUUGUUAAUCACCUUCCCCAACUGGAAAGAAGACUUCACAGAGUAAAACCACGUAGAUUAGUAUCUGGCAUGGAGAAGGAACUGAGAACAUACAUGCUGGAUGGAUGAUGAAUGAAUGAACUGAUGCAGUUAGCACACCGCAAGUAUUUACCGAACACACUGAAAUAAGCUAUAACCACUCCUGGAAAUAGAAACAAACCAAAGUUUAAGGAAA